rnacentral:rRNA from 1 species
GACAGAGGCCUCGAGCGUUAGGCGGAAUCACUGGGCUUAAAGCGUGUGUAGGCGGGCCCGUAAGUGUCUUGUGAAAUCCCACGGCUCAACCGUGGAACUGCUGGGCAUACUGCGGGUCUUGGGCCAACUAGGGGCAGCCGGAACAAGCGGUGGAGCGGUGAAAUGCGUAGAUAUCGCUUGGAACGCCGAAGGUGAAAACAGGCUGCUGGGGUUGUGCCGACGCUGAGACACGAAAGCCAGGGGAGCAAACGGG